CCAAGAUCGAGACAGUGAUCGAGUCACAGAGCGCCCAUAUCGACAUCAUAAAGAUCGCAUCAACCGUGCAGUGUGCCGACUCUCCUUUAAGACAUGGAAAAUCAAAUUAGCAAACUGAGAGGUACAAUUGGUAUCUGAAGAAUUAUUUAAGGAAGAAGAAGACAUAUUUUACGCAACUGGAAUAGCAGAAUAAUGAACAAUGUGAACCCCGGGAUCGUAUCAACAGUUGAUGCAGCGCCCUCGAAAGAACAGCUGUUUUUGCUGUUUAAUAACUAUAAGUUGG